ensembl:lncRNA novel transcript
UAGCCCAUCUCUGCGUGACUUCCGCCAGCGUUUAGAGCGUUUUCGGGGUCCGAGUUGAAGAGCAAAACCAAGUGAAGGAAACUUCACUAAGUUCAGGGUGACAAGGGAGGAAGUACAGAGACUGCACUUUAAAUUCUGGAUGACAGACCUAUCAGGACUGAGUGGACCUUUGAGUGACAAGAUGGGGGUGUUCCAAAGAGACCAUGGCAGCCUGCAGCUAGGACUUUAAUGCAAGUGGUGAUGCUGUGAUAUCUAGUGCUUUAAACAAAUCUCUUUUUUUAAGUGACAGGGUUUCCAAAUUGUUAUUUCUACUUUAACAGAUCAAUAGGGACAAAAAGUUGAUUCACUUGGUCUAAUGUGGUAGGAAUAGGUGAAAUACUAAGACUGGAUCCUACACUCUACUUCCCAUCAGGCACCCAUUCUUAUGAAUAGAGAUUCCAUAGGGGCCACACACAAUCCCAGUACUUUUUUCCCAGUUAAUUGAGAAAAUUAAAGCCAUCAUACAAUAUAUAACUUCCUCCCUCUCCACUUCUGUCAAUGCCACAUAUAUCCACCUGUCUUAUUUGUCUGUCUC